CAGCGGCUCAAGAGUAAGAAACCAUUAACAAGACGAGGUGGCUGUUGGUGUGUACAGUAAUGCGGUGUAAAUCAUCACAGAGUGGCUGUCAUUAAGAGGCUUAAUACUGGCUGGGAACCUGCAGUCAGCUGCCAGGGGCCCCAGUACGGCGCCCUGAGGAACCAGAGCUGCCAGAUAAAGCUUCGGGGUUGAUCGAGGCAAGAGGACGAGGACAAACUCAGCGUUUGGGGGGGAACAGCUGAGGCAAUUCCCAGGGAGCUGUGUGUGUGCGUGUGUGAUUCUCCCCCACCCUCCCCCCGCCCCCCACAGGUCCCUCUCCUGUAGGAUAAUGGUGGCGAAAAGAAGCAGCAGGCUCCUGCUACAUCCCUCUUCGUUCUCAGACAGCUUGUAUUCUUCUGCAAAGUGACAUUCUGCUGAUGCACACACUCAUGCGCUCACACUACACACACAUCCGACCAGACCUCCCAUCGAGCCGAUAUAUAUAUAUUUUUUUGAUACACAAAACAAUGUUUGAUCAAAUGUAUUUUUUUAAAGUGAAAUUUUUGUUUUAAAGUUUUAAAUACGAAAAGCAUUUUUUAAAACCUGGCCAAGAAAUAAUAACACCGGAAAUUUUUAAAAAGGAUAUCCAGUAUUUCUUCUGUUGGCAAAAAGAGCUGAAAAACUAACAUGAAAUGAAAACAAGCAGAGAAACGUAUGACAAAAACGUUUCAUGAUAGCGCAAAAAGAUUGAGUCUCAUACUAAUUUAAAGAUUUUUUUAACUAACAAUAUUUUCUUAAAUGGUUUGACUUGUGCAGAGCCAUCAACGCAUACGCACAACACACACAUGUCAACUUUCAAGUAAUUUGUGAAUUGGAAAUGUUCAUGUAGGUGUGUACGUCUUCGUGUGAAUGGAAUUUAUAUUUUCAGUGCGAUUGGAAACCUUCCCGUCUUGGCUGCGGGCAAGUAGCGACGUCCUCCGGGGGACUCGGCGGCGUUUCCUCGGCGAGCCUGCCUGCAGAGUGACGCCCCGCGCGGUCCAGCCUGCCGUCUCUCACCCGCUGACUCCGGCUCGCAUAACCGACCGGAGAAAAUCCGCGAAACAACACCGUGAAUGGAGUGGCGAGGAAGUCCAUGUGUGGACAGGCGGCGAUGGCAGCGAUGAAUCGGGAAAGUGGAACCCAUUCACAUUCAGUUUCUGUUGUCGUCGCUUAUUCUUGGGACGUGAAGAUUCUUAAACUCGAUUUCCUAAAGGUAAGGCCUUCAUAAAGCACAAAAUUGAAUUUUAAUCCCCCGAAUCUGCUGUUCAAAGCUCAGAAACAAGACACAAUAGAAAAAGAUAGAAGAGGGAAAUGAGCAGAGUUGAAUUGCA